CUACGGGGGGCACCAGUGGGGAAUAUUGCACAAUGGGCGCAAGCCUGAUGCAGCCAUGCCGCGUGUAUGAAGAAGGCCUUCGGGUUGUAAAGUACUUUCAGCGGGGAGGAAGGGAGUAAAGUUAAUACCUUUGCUCAUUGACGUUACCCGCAGAAGAAGCACCGGCUAACUCCGUGCCAGCAGCCGCGGUAAUACAGAGGGUGCAAGCGGUAAUCGGAAUUACUGGGCGUAAAGCGCACGCAGGCGGUUUGUUAAGUCAGAUGUGAAAUCCCCGGGCUCAACCUGGGAACUGCAUCUGAUACUGGCAAGCUUGAGUCUCGUAGAGGGGGGUAGAAUUCCAGGUGUAGCGGUGAGAUGCGUAGAGAUCUGGAGGAAUACCGGUGGCGAAGGCGGCCCCCUGGACGAAGACUGACGCUCAGGUGCGAAAGCGUGGGGAGCAAACAGGAUUAGAUACCCCUGUAGUC
rnacentral:rRNA from 1 species